AAAAUGCGACAAUGGGGGCAAGCCUGAUCCAGCCCUGCCGCGUGUGGGAAGAAGGUCUUCGGAUGGUACAGCACUUUAAGUGGGGAGGAAGGGCAUUAAGGUAAUACCUCCCUGUUUUGGCGUUAUCGACAGAAUAAGCGCCUGCUAACGUCGUGCCAGCAGCGGCGGUAAUACGAAGGGUGCAGGCGUUAAGCGGAAUUACUGGGAGUAAAGCGCGCGUAGGUGGUUUGUUAAGUUGGAAGUGAAAUGCCCGGGCUCAACCUGGGAGCUGCUUUGAUAACUGCUGGGCUAGAGUGCGGUAGAGGGUAGUGGAAUUUCCUGUGUAGCGGUGAAAUGCGUAGAUAUAGGAAGGAACACCAGUGGCGAAGGCGACUACCUGGGCUUAUACUGACACUAAGGUGCGAAAGCGUGGGGAGCAAAC
rnacentral:rRNA from 1 species